GGGUGCGGUCAGGUAGAUACCAUGGCUGAAGCUAGGGGAGUACACAUCUGAUGUGAAUCGAAGUAGAGGAGAUGUCAGUGAUGCCUGGGAGGAGCAAGAUCAGAUGGCUCUCCUGUCUUCUGCUUCUGGGCUCUCAGCUUUUGUGAAACCUUCCACCUCUGCUCCGCUGCAGCCAUUAAGUGGGCCUCCUCAUCACCUACCCUUUCUCUCUCUCUUGUAGAAAGGACUUGGAUCCCUUUCUAGUUGACUAUCAACAGCUGGAGGACAAGUUUUGUGGGCAAGAUGUCUUCACCACAGAAAAACUGUGAAGCUCCAGGAGCUGCCUCUGUGUAAGCUGUACACAAGGAAAUCCAGGUCUAAAGAAGAAGCCAGAGAAGGAGCAGGGCAGUGGAAGACAGAGAGGUGAGGAAAGGCCAGCACCUGACAUCAUGACAUUGUGCUUCUAAGGUUUGGAAUUCUAGUCCCAGGGUACUUCAUCCCACUGAAUCUGUAUUGCACUGUGACCUGCUUUGACUAGGAAGAAAUGAUGCAGAUCUAGUCCUUAUCUGUGUCUACAGAAAUCCUGGCAUCUUUUAUUUUGUGUCUGAGAAGGCCAUUACCAUCGAAGAAGUUCUGCUACCUUCGGAUCAUUAUGCAAGGAGAAGCCAACGCCAGCCACGCAGAGUUCGUGUGGACAAAGACGGUGGCCCUCAGCCAGCAGAGCUGGGUAGUCACAGCUGUCAGCUAGCACUAAACUCCAGCCACGGGAGUGGGGUCAUCUUAAAAGUGGAUCCUAUUGCCUCACUCAAGCCUCCUCUGGGGAUGCCACAUGGAACCCGAUAAAAUGUGUGCUGGAUUGCUGGUGUGUCAAAACAAACAGAUACAAAAUAGGAGACUCACAUUUAUUCUCUAAUAUAGAGGCCGGAUGUCUGAAACCGAGGUCUUAUGGGUCAGUGCCAGCAUCCCUUCGAAGGCUCUAGCAGGACAAUGACCUUGUAGCUUCCAAUUCCUCACAGCCCCAUCUACUCCCUUGGCUUCGGGGAGCAAGCUCCAAUCUUUGUCUCCAUUUUUUACACGGCUCUUUUCCCUCUAGCUGUGGCCCAAACUUCUUCCUACAAGGAUGCUGGUCAUUGGACCAGGGCCCACCAUAAUGACUUCAUCAGAACAUUAUUACAUCUACAAAGACCUUAUUUCCAAAUAAAGUCACACUUACCAAUCCCGAG
ensembl:lncRNA